rnacentral:rRNA from 1 species
AACGAACGCUGGCGGCAUGCCUAACACAUGCAAGUCGAACGAACCCUUCGGGGUUAGUGGCGCACGGGUGCGUAACGCGUGGGAAUCUGCCCUUUGCUUCGGAAUAACAGUUAGAAAUGACUGCUAAUACCGGAUGAUGUCUUCGGACCAAAGAUUUAUCGGCAAAGGAUGAGCCCGCGUAGGAUUAGGUAGUUGGUGGGGUAAAGGCCUACCAAGCCGACGAUCCUUAGCUGGUCUGAGAGGAUGAUCAGCCACACUGGGACUGAGACACGGCCCAGACUCCUACGGGAGGCAGCAGUGGGGAAUAUUGGACAAUGGACGCAAGUCUGAUCCAGCAAUGCCGCGUGAGUGAUGAAGGCCAUAGGGUUGUAAAGCUCUUUUACCAGGGAUGAUAAUGAUAGUACCUGGAGAAUAAGCUCCGGCUAACUCCGUGCCAGCAGCCGCCGUAAAAC